GUGGCAUUUUGGAUGCUUAGUUGGCAAUUUUUGCUAAGUAUUUGUGAUGGCGUUAAAAGUUAAACAAAUGAUUGCUUCUGGGAGUAAACCCAGGAAAUACACAAUUCCUACUCUCUAUCCAAGGUGAUUCCAGAUCUGGCUUUGCUUCUGGUUUGAGGAGAUUUUCAGAUUUAAUUAUAGGUGAAUUGAAGUAGAGGUUAGUCAAUUUGUUUCAUUACCCUCGUUUAUCUGGUCUAAGGUUCUUUUUUGUGGGUUGUAAUCAUGUGUGAGUUGCGAAAGGAGUUUAUUUUUUUUAGUAAUUGAACUUAAAUUUAUGAUAUACUCAUGUGGUUUAAGUUGUUUCUUGUGAUUUAGGUGAAUCUUCAGUUCGUAUUGAUUCUUGCGUAAAAUAUUGCAAUUACUGCUUUGUGAAAAUUGGUUGGUAUGUUUGCGAAAAUUGAAAUUAAAUUGCUGAAAUUCAAUUUUUGUUUCAAUUGUUGAAAUUCCUCCGCUUUACAAUCUCCGAUCUCCAACCUGCAAAAUGUUCGAGUCCUCUCUAUCUCUUCGAAUUCGUUUAUCUGCAAAACUCAGAUUUCGUUUUUUUUUUUUUCGAUUUUCUGUAAUCUUAUGCUGUAAUCGUUAAUAACUCCGUCAAGGUCCGUCCACAAAUCACCCCACGUGAAAACAGUUGGCAAUCUCUAGUACACAUCACAUGACAGCAUUACACCCUAAAAUGACUUUUUUGCCCCCAAGAGAAACAAGUUUGUUAAUCAAUAGGAGAAACAAGAAAUUACCCUUUUCGGUGUAGUAAUUGUAGACAAGAAGGUCAUAACAAAAGAAGGUGUAAAAAACCUUCUGUUGCUAACAAAGAAGGUCCAUCAGCACAUCCCUUUAACGAUCCAUUUCAAUCUUUACAACAAAGGCAGCGGGAGCAAAAAAAGAAGCAAGAGCAAAAUAAGACGGCACGAGAUCUUCCAACUCAAGAGUCACAAGCUCCGGUAUCAAGGCAUCAUAAGGGACAUGGUCUUUAUAACUACUAUCCAGAUGGAUUUCAAAGACAAGCUCUAGUAACUAUCUAAAUACACAAUUGAUAUGCAAGCAAGCACUCCAUCAAGCAUGACAACUCAGUAUCAUCAAGCAAAAUAGGGAAUCAAUUUCAAGAAAGGGUGAAGAUGUUUCACCAUAGUCAGGGAUUUUGAGCUGUUGAACAUGAGUUUUUGGUAUUAACAACAAGUUGAUGGGUUUAGGCAGGAAAAUACAGGAGUAUAUUAUUGGCUAGUAUUGUGGAUUUGUGGCAGUAUUGUUUUUGUUUAAUGUAAAAAACAAUUUAUUUAUUUUCUUUUGGUUUUUUUUUUUAUUAUUUUUUUGGCAAGGAUGUUGAAUUAUUUCUCCUUUUAUGAAUAGUUAAUUAUCCCUUGGGUUUA